rnacentral:miRNA from 1 species
UACCUCAUCAACCAGAGAGAAUCCCUUCCGGCUUAUGAGGUUGUUAUACCUCAUCGAUUGGAAGGUUGAUGAGAUGUAACAACCUCAUUGAUUGGAAGGUAUACCUCAUUGAUUGGAAGGUA